rnacentral:rRNA from 1 species
AUUGAACGCUGGCGGCAUGCCUUACACAUGCAAGUCGAACGGUAACAGGUCUUCGGAUGCUGACGAGUGGCGAACGGGUGAGUAAUACAUCGGAACGUGCCUAGUAGUGGGGGAUAACUACUCGAAAGAGUGGCUAAUACCGCAUGAGAUCUACGGAUGAAAGCAGGGGAUCGCAAGACCUUGUGCUACUAGAGCGGCCGAUGGCAGAUUAGGUAGUUGGUGGGAUAAAAGCUUACCAAGCCGACGAUCUGUAGCUGGUCUGAGAGGACGAUCAGCCACACUGGGACUGAGACACGGCCCAGAGUCCUACGGGAGGCAGCAGUGGGGAAUUUGGGACAAUGGGCGCAAGCCGGAUCCAGCAAUGCCGCGUGCAGGAUGAAGGCCUUCGGGUUGUAAACUGCUUUUGUACGGAACGAAAAGCCCCGGGUUAAUACCCUGGGGUCAUGACGGUACCGUAAGAAUAAGCACCGGCUAACUACGUGCCAGCCGCCGCGGUAA